GCCCGUUCGCUGGCGCGCGCUCGCCCCUCCCCCGCGCGCCGCCCGCUCCCUCCUCCCGGCCGCCUCGCGCAGUGUGUGUACAAACACAAAAGACACGCCGAAGGGCCGCCGGCUCCGGCCGAGACGGCCGCCCGCCCGCCCCCGUUUUAACUCCGGCUCUCCGGCCCCGCACUCCCACCCUGCUCCGAUUUUUCCAGGAAGGCUGUUGUACAUCAAUUAAACUCAUCAUAUCUUCAAGAAAUGUUAAAUGACACUGGAUACUCACAUCUGAAAAAAUGUACCUCUUAGAGUUAAUGAGCUGUGAUAUCUUUCUCUGUAUUCUCAUCAGUAUAAGGAAGGUCACUAAGGAUCAGAAAGAAUAAAUACAGAGCACCUGACACAGAGUACGGGCUCCACAAAUGACCAUCAUUGUGUCAAACCUGUCUUCACUGCUUUCAAAAGGUA